rnacentral:rRNA from 1 species
GUACACGCUGUGACUAGCAUAUCAAUAAGCGGAGGAAAAGAAACUAACAAGGAUUCCCCUAGUAACGGCGAGUGAAGCGGGAAGAGCUCAAAUUUGAAAUCUUAAAGGGUUUCCCUUUACGAAUUGUAGUUUAAAGAAGUGUUUUCUGUUGAGGUUUUGGUAAAAGUUCUUUGGAAUAGGACAUCAUAGAGGGUGAGAAUCCCGUAUUUGACCUUUACUUUCAACUUUGUGAUACACUUUCAAAGAGUCGGAUUGUUUGGGAAUGCAGUCCAAAAUGGGUGGUAAAUUUCAUCUAAAGCUAAAUAUUGGCGAGAGACCGAUAGCGAACAAGUACCGUGAGGGAAAGAUGAAAAGAACUUUGAAAAGAGAGUUAAACAGUACAGUGAAAUUGUCAAAAGGGAAGCGUUUGACACCAGUGUUGUUUUUCUGAAAAUCAAUUAAAGAACUGUUUAUGCUAAGCUGUUUAGACUUUAUCAGCUAACUGUUUAGUUUUGAGCUUUUCUUUAAUGCACUUUUCAGUUAGCAAGUCAACAUCAACUUCUUUUGCUGUAAAAAAGCUUGAGGAAGGUGGCUUGAGAUUCGUCUUAAGUGUUUAUAGCCUCUUGCCUAUGCAGUCGGAGAGAUUGAGGUCUGCAGCGUAGAUCCUUCGGGGCUAAAUGCAUUUGUGCUAAGUUAUAGCAUUUUAUAGACAACUUGUCGACUAUGAUUUGUCUUGUAGCUUACUCGCUUAUGUUAUUUUACCUACGCUUAGGAUGUUGAAGUCAUCGUAUCGCGC